rnacentral:lncRNA from 1 species
CAAAAUUUGCCUGAAAUUUUAAUGAUGCAAAUCAAGUUCUUUAAUAUUUCUGCUAUACUCAAUUUUUGUUUUGUUUGUAGCACUUUUAGAUUCCACAGUUAAGACUGCAAAUGCAAAUGGAGGUGACUCACAGGAAGAGGUUUAUGAAAUGGUAUUGUUUGCAAUGGUAUUUUUAUUCUGCACAGGAUUUUGAAAACUGUGGAAAUUUGACAUGUGGAAUUUGAUACACAGUCUGGUUUUAACAUUAUAAGAAAUAGGUGAACAUUUUGAAAUAUCAUCAUAUAUAUAUAUAUAUAAAAAAGAACCUUAGGCCUGCCUACGUGGCGCCGUUACAAACUAGAAUUCCUUUUUAAUUUACUUAGCCUUCCUCUUUCAUGAAAAGUUGUGACUUUUAUAAAUGCGACUUUAAUGAAGAGUUGCGACUUUUAUGAAAAAUUGCAACUUUUAUGAAAGGUUCUAACCUUUCCGAAGGGUUGCAACCAAAGGAUUGCAACUUUUCCAAAUAGUUGUAACCUUUCUGCUAAGGCACAAUAAACAUUUGUUCACACUACCCUUUGUUGUCUAUAAAUAGAGGGAUUUCCUCUCAUUUUAAAACAACGAAAAUUUUGAACCUCCUCUUCUUCUUCUUCUUCACAAUUAAAUAUUUGUGUACUUUGCUCCUAUUUAGUGGCUCACUAACACCAUUGCUUAUGUUACAGAUCCUGGUAUGUAUCUUUACAAUCAUUAAUUUAUGCUUAUGUUAUUAAUGAUAAAUGAUAAGAUGCAAUAAUUUUCAUUUUCCUUUACAUUAUUAAUGUUUGUUACUACGUAAUCUUGUAUGUAAGAUAAUAUAGUGUUUUAGUUUUAAUGAUGAUCGGUUUUAAGUAUUAUUUUAUAAAUUCCGUGAUAUUAAAUUCCCGCGCGAAGCGUGGAUAAUUUUACUAGUUUCCUGUGAUUAUAGAGUAAUCUGAGGUUUACCAUACCAAGUGUGAAGUUAAAUUCAUGGUCAUACCCCUCUCCACAAGGUGUUAGAAACUGGUAUAUUGUCAAUUGAGGAGUACCACUGCAACUACGUUUCAAUACCAAGUAAGUUGAGGUUUCCUAUAUGAAUCCUCAUUGUAGAUGAUGCUCUGUUUAAGCUUGUCUUGAUUCAAUAUUGUCAACAACAAAAAAAUAGUUUCAGAAGCACGGCAUAAUUGAGAAGUGAAGUAUUAUUUGAUAAUUAACUGAUUAUAGAAAAUUAGUUGUUGAAUAAUUUGAUCGUAUUAUCUAAAAGUUCAUGAGGUAAUAUGUAUAUAAGUUUGUGUCAUAGUAUCCAUGGCAUGUCACCAAUUUGCUUUAUUUCCAGGCAACUAAAAUCUUUACUUUAUAGUUUGAGGGAUAGACCUAUUGGUUCAAGAAGUAUAUAUUUGAUAUAUGGCUAUAAGAAGAUGCUCUCUGUCAAAAGACAUAUGUUCAUAUGUAUUCAUUGGUAUACUUUAUUUGAUCUUUUAUUUUAUUUUUUAUUAUAGAGAAUUCAAUGCUUCUAUCUAUGAAACUUGGUGGGUAACAGGUCUCCCCCUCUAUCCUUCUCUACUUACAUCCUCGACUUGGAUUACUAGCUAGGUAUAAGUUGGAAUACUUUGACUUCACCAAGAAUAAACAUAUAACACUAGCUAACAUGCUUGGGAGACUCCAUUCCGUCGUUUUUCACUUGUGAAACCAACUAUAUUGUUAUUAUUUCAUUGUUUUACUUCAUCGAUGAUAAAUGUGUAAAGUGGUUUAAAAAAUAAUGAUUGACAUUUAAUUGCAUUAUAUCUCCCAUCCUAACUUUAAAAAAAUAUAGUCUAAUUCCUCCUCGUUGGGUUGGGCUAUGAUCACAUUAUAGAAGUUGUAUUCUUGAUGUGAGUUUGGGGUCCAUAUAUAUAUAUAUAUAUAUAUAUAUAUAUAUAAAGACUUCAUUUGCUGCAAUAAGCCAACAACAAUAGUCCUCAAUUGUUGCAAGAUUGCAACAAUGUCAAAAAGGUUUAGAUUUGUUUGCCUACAAGCUUGAAUUGUUAUUUAUCAUUGAUGUCAUUAGUGACAUCAAAUGGGGGAAAAUAUUUUCCAUAUAAAUAGAGCACUUAUGCUCAAUGUAAGGACACAUCAAAUAGAGAAAACAAUAGAGAGUAGUGAGAGUAAUCAAUAAGCUAUUUGUUAUAGUGUGAGAGUAAUAUAUAUUAUUGGUAAGAAAUAAAAGAGUGUUAUUCUUAUAAAUGAGUAGUAGUUUUAUGACACUACCAAGUUUUCAUUAAUAUUAUUGUAUUACUUAUUAGGAUAUCAUAUUUACCUUAUUAUAAUAUGGUGUCGUUGUUACUCUCUUCUUAUUGCUUUUUUGUAUAGACAUUAUCCUGAGUGUGAUUAUCAUUUUGUCCAACAACAUGGUAUCAGAGUAAUUGAAAGUAAUAGUCUGGUGUCUUUUCAAUACCCCUAAUUCACAAGAGAAAAUUAUGAAAAAUGGUGUCUACAUAUGAAACCCAUUCUUAGCUCUCAAGAUGUUUGAGACAUUGUAGACAAAGGCUAUACAAAACCCGUUAAUGAGGAAACUUUAUCCCCAACUGAAAAGGAGGUCUUGUUAAAGGCAAGAAAGAAAGAACAACAAGCUCUCACUCGCAUUAAUCAAUGUUUGGAUAAUGGCAUGUUUGAGAAGGUGACUGAUGCAACCACCUCAAAAGAAGCUUGUGAGAUUUUACAAAUUCUCUCCAAAGAGUUGAUAAAGUAAAGAAGAUAAAACUUUGAACUCUAAGGGCUGAUUUUGAAGAUUAAAAAUGAAAGAAUUUGAAUCCAUGUCGUAUUUCUGUUCAAGAUUGAUGGUUAAUGUGAAUCAACUAAAAAGAUAUGAGGAGGAAGUAGAUGAUGUGUGUGCCGUAGAAAAGAUCAUUUUUUCUUCAAUACCUAAAUUUGAUUAUGUGGUGUGUGCUAUUGUAGAGUUUAAAGAUUUAGACUCUAUGACGGUAGAGCAAUUGAAAGGUUCUUUACAAGGACACAAAGAAAAGAUGAAAAGGAGAAAAGAAGAGCCAGUAGAGCAACUUCUUAAAAUUCAGGCAUCCUUCAAAGGAUUUGAAGGUGAAAAAAAUUACAAAGGAAAUGGACAAUGGCAAGGUCGUGGCGGUCGUGGAGGCCGCGGAAGAGGAAUAAGUUAUAUCAACAAAUUCAAUAAUGAAGAUAAAAAUCACCAUCCAUUCAGAGGUCAUACAGUGGUCAAGGAGGAGGUGGAAGACAUGGAGCCUAUUAAGGUACCAAUGAAAUGAGGUAUGACAAAUCUAAAAUUGAGUGUCAUAACUGUCAAAAAAUUGGACAUUAUUCUUGGGAAUGUCGUAGUAAUGUUGAAGAGAAAGCUAAUCUUGUUGACAACAACAAAGAUUAAGAUGAGUCAACAUUGUUAUUGACAUUUAAAGAAGAAAAUACGGAUAACUGUAGUUCAUGGUAUCUUGUAAAUAGAGAAAGCAAUCAUAUGUGUGGCCACGAAGACACAAGUCUGUAGAGAUAAAGAAGACUGUGAAAGGUAAUGUGUCUUUUGGAGAUACCUCAAAGAUCCAAAUUGAAGGAAUAGGUACGAAUCAAAUAUCCUGUAAAGAUGAUGGCCAUAAAUUUAUUAACGAUGUUUAUUAUGUUCCAAAAUUGAAAAGUAAUUUUUUGAGUUUGGGUCAACUUUUUGAAAAAUGAUAUGAUAUUCGUAUGAAAAAUAUGCAUUUUUGGCUUAGAGAAUCAAUUAACAACUUAAUUGCUAAAGUUCAUAUGGCAAAGAAUAGGUUGUUCCCUUUGAAUCUUAAGACAAUCGAUGCAAAGUGUUUGAAGGCUAAUGUGUAAGAUGGCUCAUGGUGUUGGCAUAUGCGAUUUAGACAUGAACUUUGAAGUGCUCAAAUCAAUGGGAGACAAGAACAUGACUGAUGGAAUUCCGUCAAUCAACCAUCCCAAUCAGCUGUGUGAAGCCUGUCUUCUUGGAAAACAUGCGAUGAAGAGUUUUUCAAAGGAGACUACAUCAAGAACAAGUAAGCCACUCCAACCUAUACACACCAAUUUGUGUGGUCCAAUCGAUCCACCUUAUUUUGGUAAAAGUAAAUACUUCUUGCUCUUUAUUGAUGAUUUUUGUAGAAAGACUUGGGUAUACUUUUUGAAUAAAAAAUUUGAGGGUUUUGUGGCUAUUAAAAAUUUCAAAGCACUUGUAGAAAAAUAAAGUGGCUAUGAAAUAAAAGUCUUAAGGUCUGAUAGAGGAGGUGAAUUCACUUCAAAAGAAUUUAAUGAUUUUUUUUAAUCUCAUGGAAUUUGUCGCCUUCUGACGGUACCUUACUCGCCACUAAAAAAUGGAGUUGCAGAAAGAAAAGAUCAAUUUUUAAUAUGGUUAUAUGUAUGUUGAAAGCUAAAUAUCUACCAAAAGAAUUUUGAGCCGAGGCUGUUUCUUGUGCACUUUAUUUAAGCAACAGGUCUCCAACAAAAAAUGUUCGAGAUCAAGCUCCUCAGGAAGCAUGGAGCAGAAGAAAGUGAAGUAUCAAGCACUUGAGAACCUUUGGGAGCAUAGCCUAUGAUCAUGUUCCACAUCAAGGGAGAGCUAAACUUUAUGAUCAAAGUGUCAAGCAUGUGUUUGUUGGAUAUGACGCGAGUUCAAAACGCUACUCUAUAAUCAUAGCAAAUAUUCAGCUAUUUCUUAUGAAGUUAAAAGCAAACAGUGUAUCAAACUCCACAUGUCAAAUUUCCACAAUUUUCAAAAUCUUGUGUAGAAAAAACUACCAUUGCAAACAAUACCUUUUCAUAAACCUCUUCCUGCCAGUCACCUCCAUUUGCAUUUGCAGUUGAACUGUAGAAUCUAAAAGUGCUACAAACAAAAAUAAUAAUAAGUAUAGCACAAUUAUUAAAGAACUUGAUUGCUUACAUCAUUAAAAUUUCAAGCAAAUUUUGGGACAGUGUUAAAUAUUUCAGAUGCUAAUACAUUUUAAUUUCCCUCUAAAUGUACUUGUCUAAAACAUUUUAACUUCCCUCCAACAUAAAAAAUUUUAUUACCAUUCAUAAGUGCACUCUAUUGGAUAAUAUUGUAAUUACAAUUAAUUUUACAAAUCUAUGCCAUUUAUUUAGCCGAGGGUCUAUCUACCCUACAGAGGUAAGGUAAGGAUUGUAUACAUCCUACCCUCAGCGUCGAAAAUUAAUAUUUUCACACAAAAAAUAUUUUUUAAAUUAUAUAUUUCGUAUAAACUUUUACAUAUGCAAUAUAAUUCUUCACAGUAGGGUAACUGGCUACCGUUCAUUGUAUGUGGCUACGUCUCUCCCCAAACACCACAGACACCACUAGUAGGAUUAUACUAAGGAGUUGUUUGGUUUGAGGUAUAAAGUAUAAUAAUUCUAGGAUAAAAUGUAGGAUUAUAUAUUUUAUCCUGUAUUUGGCUAGAGGUAUUAGGUAGUCAUGAGAUUAUUGAUACCACAAUUUAUACCUUAGUGAUGGGAUAAGUUAUUCAUACACAUGAAGUGAAGAGAUAACUUAUCCCGGGAUAACUUAUCCCUCCCAACCAAAUGACCCCUAAGUAUGUUGUUGUACUCUUUCGAUGAUAAAGAAUUCAUAGUGGUCCAAUAAAAUAAAACCAUCUAUGCCAUUAUUGUUGUUUACUAUUUUUUACCCUUUUUUAUAGCCAAGAAAUCCCUGUGGUCAAUGACGUAGUCGCCUAGAGUUAGAAACUCAUAAGAUAAUGGGUCCACCCUCUACCCUUCAUCAUUUCCUUUUUUUUUAUUUAUGACAAGAGAAUCACGAUCACUACUCUUUUUAGGGUUCACAGAGUAAAACUUUCCCACAAAUUACAUAGGAGAGAUAAACCAUACUAGACAAUCCCCCAUGAGGAAUCAUAUAGGAAGAUUUCAAACCUGAGACUCCCAGUGGGAGAUCCCUUGCAAUUCCACGAAUAUGUAGUAGUAGUAGUGUAUAAUCAUUGACAAAAAAAGAACAAAAAAUCAAGUAGAGGUUAAAAUCAGAAAAAUGAAAUUACUUCUUGUUGGCCAUUCUACGGUCGAAGCUCCAGUGGCAGCCAUGGCCAGGGCGGUACUCUCACAAUCUUGAGUAUUACUAUACAUAUCAAUUUUGAUCAACUUUUUCCCCCUAAUGUGAGCCCUAGUGUAUAUUUAUAUAAUAUAGAAUUAAUUUUUUGUAUGGUCUCUCAAGUAAUAAUUUUUAUCUCACAAACUCACUCAACUUUUUUUUGUAAGACAAAGGUCACUCAACCAAUGACAAUUAUCUCAAAAAGUUAUUCAAUUUUAUUUUAUAAUUUAAAAGUCAUUCAACUUUGUUUUGUAACAUAAAGGUCACUCAACUAAUGAUAUUUAUUUGGGAUAAGGCACAAGUACCCCCCUAGACUAUGACCGAAAUCUCAGAGACACACCUUACGCAAUUGAGGCGCGUGGGAGAUAUUUGGAUGUCAUGUAAGCCAAAAAGGUGUACAAAAUUACAAAAAAAAUAAGUUUAGGAGGGUAAUAGGACCUUAGUUUAGUUAAUGUGUGUCUCUGAGAUUUCGAGCAUAAUCUAGGGGGUACUUGUGCCUUUUUCCUAUUUAUUUUGAAAAGUUAUUCAACUAUAGUUUAUAAUUAAAAAAAUCACUCAAUUGUUAUCAUUUCACCUACAAAAUCAUGUUGAUUGUGUGAUCACAAAAGAAAUUAGCAUAUAUAUUGAGUUCAUAACGAAUCUGUUUCGAUAUAUGUCUACAGAUUGGAAGUGUUUGAACUAUUUUAUCCUCUUCUCACCGGUCCCUUCAUCGGAGAGGUCGAUUUCCCCUACAUGGGGCAGCUUGGAGUUAAUGAAGGUCCAGAUAUUUUGGAAAUGGUCCAGCUUUUGUGACUUUUCCUUUUAUGAUUUUUCUUUAGAUUUAUUUGUUUCCUAUUUCUUUUUCGGGGUUGGGCCACUUUUGGGCUUAUACCCUUGUAAUUAUUGAUCCUCUUUUGUUUCUAAUAAAAUCAUCGAUUUGGCUUUAAAAAAGAACUUAUUAUAAGGGCAGAUCUUGAAAGAGAAAGACAAAAAUGUUUUUUCUUUUUAAAAAAUCCAUUGUUAAAUUAUUAUAAAACAAAGAAAGGAUAAUAACUAUUUUGGUCUUAAGAAGAGAGUUCAAAGGAAAAAUUGAGAUAUCAUUAGUAACUGAAAAGAUAUACAAACUGCAAAAAAUUAUUUUAAAUACAUGAGAUCUUAGAACAAAACAAAAAGAUAAAUGAAUUUGAGACUUGAUAGAUUACAAAUUUUGUGAGUCAUAAUUAUCUCAAGAGUUCUAAAAGGAUCUUAGCCAACAACAGUGGCGGAGCCAGAAUUUUCACUUAGAGGGUUCAAAAUAUGAAUAAGUAAAUACAUGAAGAAGUCAAACGGGGUUCAACAUCUAUUAUAUAUACAUUAAAAAAAUAUUAAGCAUGUAUAAACAAUGUAACUUUUUGCCGAAGAGAGUUUGGAUGAACCCCUCAGUCUUACUUAGGUCCACUCCUGGCCAACAAUCUUUCUAACUUUUUGGAACGAUUCUCAAUUUUUUCUAAUCAUUCCUCAACAUGUGCCUAAAGGUGUAUCCAAGAUUUCAAAACAACCAAAAUGUGUCAGGGGUUGAUCAUCGAAACCUGGGAAAUAACGAUUUAGGAAUUUGAGUGCUGAUGUAGCUAAGAGUCACCUUCAUAAUCAAUUCAUUAGGGUCACGCUUAACUUCUAUUCCCAAGAAAUAAUUAAGCUCACCAAGAUUCUUUAGUGAGAACCUGCUAGCCAAAGAGUUGAUGACCUGCGCAACUAAGUUUGGAUGGUUCCCACUAAUAAGAAUAUCAUCCACAUAUACUAAAAUGUAAACAGUAANNNNNNNNNNNNNNNNNNNNNNNNNNNNNNNNNNNNNNNNNNNNNNNNNNNNNNNNNNNNNNNNNNNNNNNNNNNNNNNNNNNNNNNNNNNNNNNNNNNNUUACGACUAGGGGGUGCUCCCGGGUCGUGACAAGUAUUUUGAGGUUUUGCCAAAUAAUUUUUGAUAAGGAGACUCAUUAUUUAAACCUGGAGCAGGAAGUCUAUUUAUUAGAUAGACUGCAUGGUGACAGGCAAAGGACCACAAUUCAGGAGGAAGUGAGGCUUUAUUGAGAAGAGUUCUUGUUGUUUCGACAAUGUGACGAUGUCGUCGUUCAGCUGUGGCGACUCGUUGAGGAGUGUAAGGUGGUGAAAUUAAAUGUUCAAUGACCUUUUGUUGUAGGUAGUGUUUAAGACCCAUGUAUUCACCCCCGCCAUCUGUAUAAACAGAGGCAAUUUUGUGUUUGAAAAAAAUUUCCACCAAAGGAUGAAAUUAGCUUCAACUUCCCUUUUAUUUUUUAUUGUAUACAACCAAAUAUAUUUGGUGUAGUGAUCAACAAAGAUGCAGUAAUACAACUUUUUAUCAAUGGAUAAAACGGGUGAUGGACCCCAUAAAUCACUGAAUAAAGUUUGUAAUGGAGCAUUGCUAUUAAAAGUGAGUUGUUGAAAUGGCAAACGAUGAGCUUUAUUGGAUGAACAAGAAUUACAAAACUCAAACUUUUCUUUGCUAGAAGUAGGAAGUGAAAAUUUAUUUAGGACAAAAUCUAGAAUUUUCAAAUGAGGAUGACCAAGGCGACGAUGCCACAGUUGUCGAGAGACUUUGAUGGAGGUGAAAUUGAUGGAGGGAAGAUUAUGACGCAUAUGUGGCCACUCAUAGAGUCCAUUUUUGUUUCGGCCUCGUACCAGUAGUCUCCGAGUUUUGAGGUCCUUCACAUGAAAAGAGUAUGGAAAAAAUUCAACAGAGGUUAGAUUGUCACUACAAAACUUGGCAACUGAUAUGAGAUUCUUUUUUAUAGAAGGAACACAAAGAGUGUCAGAAAGCAUGAAAUUAGCAUUAGAAGCUUUUAUUUGAGUUAGACCUCUUGAAACCGAUUCAUUAGUGUUACUUAAAAUUCUGACUAGAGUGUGGGAAGUGCCAUGGAAUAUUAUAGGGAUAACGGAAGAUAUAUGGGGAUUAGCAGAAAUGGUCCAAUUUCAAAUUCAGCACAUUUAUAGAGAAGGAAAUUGUUUGGCUAACUGCAUAGCCAACUUAGCUUUUGAUAACCAAAGCAGACUUGUUUAUAAUUCUAAAGGGCUGAGGAAUAUGGACCUACAGCAGUGGCAAUCACUAUUGAGAUAAACAUGUGGUUAUCUAUUUGUUAGUAUUUUAAGUUUAAAUUUUGAAUUAGUUUGAAUAAGUCAACUAAUCUUUUAGAUAAGAUUAAGUUGUUAGAUUAGUUGCUUAAAGCUAGUCGAGUUAGUUCCUUUAAGUUAGUCAAGUUAGUUGCAUUUACUUGUAUUUAAGCAGAUGUAAGCAAUGAAUAAAAUCAUUCAAGUUUUCUUUUAAUUCUCAAUCUCUUUAUGGUAUCAGAGCUUAAGGUUGUAUCUCGUGCUCUUAUGGCGGCAGAGAUCUCACGAUACUCAGGACCCAAGCCACUCAAGAUCUUGACAGCGAGUUCUUCAUCAGCUACUGGUGAACCAGCUACUUUGAGAGCAUCAGCAAUUGAUCUAAUUUCUUGUAAGUAAUUAGCAACAGACCUGUUGGCCUUUUUCAAAUUUUGCAACUGAUCUCGCAGGCUGAAGAUGCGAGUGUGACUCCUGUUGGCAUACGCCGUAUGAAGGAGUUCCCAGGCCAGUUUAGCCGAGGAAGCCGUUGCAACCAUGGGAGUAAUGGUAAGAUCGACUGAUGCCAUCAUUGCCUGUUGGAUCAGUUGAUCCUGGCAGAACCACAUUUCAAAUUCAGGAUUUUUUAUAGUGGUAUCAUUAUGAGUGAUGGUGGAUGGCGGAGCAGGUUUUGCUCCAGUGAGGUUCCCAAUGAGUUUGUGUCCGUUGAGUAGCAUCACCAAUUGUGCUUUCCAUGUUGCAAAGUUAAGAUUACCUGCUCCAGGUUUAAAUAAUGAGUCUCCUUAUCAAAAAUUAUUUGGUAAAACCCCAAAAUACUCUUUGCUAAAAAAAUUUGGUUGUCUCUGUUAUCCAUGGCUCAAACCAUAUACUCAAAAUAAAUUUCAACCAAGAUCCACACCUUGCGUAUAUUUAGGAGUUUCAAUUGUUCAUCAUGCACACCUAUGUUUUGAUCCAAUAAAUUCAAAGGUAUUUGUUAGUCGUGAUGUACAAUUUUUUGAAACUAUUUUUCCUUUUACCAUCAUGUUCUCACAGUUAAAAAAUAAAUUUUCCAAGAUAAACUGGGAAAUAAUAGAAUCCCAUUCAGAAAAGACUUCAAAAAAUCAACAGACUUUGGACUCCAACCUUGUUCCAACUCUUCUGCCACCUAUCCCAUCUCCUUCUAGUUAUCCACAAGAUUUGAACUCAUCCUCAAAUAAUCAAGAGUCCGUGACGGANNNNNNNNNNNNNNNNNNNNNNNNNNNNNNNNNNNNNNNNNNNNNNNNNNNNNNNNNNNNNNNNNNNNNNNNNNNNNNNNNNNNNNNNNNNNNNNNNNNNNNNNNNNNNNNNNNNNNNNNNNNNNNNNNNNNNNNNNNNNNNNNNNNNNNNNNNNNNNNNNNNNNNNNNNNNNNNNNNNNNNNNNNNNNNNNNNNNNNNNNNNNNNNNNNNNNNNNNNNNNNNNNNNNNNNNNNNNNNNNNNNNNNNNNNNNNNNNNNNNNNNNNNNNNNNNNNNNNNNNNNNNNNNNNNNNNNNNNNNNNNNNNNNNNNNNNNNNNNNNNNNNNNNNNNNNNNNNNNNNNNNNNNNNNNNNNNNNNNNNNNNNNNNNNNNNNNNNNNNNNNNNNNNNNNNNNNNNNNNNNNNNNNNNNNNNNNNNNNNNNNNNNNNNNNNNNNNNNNNNNNNNNNNNNNNNNNNNNNNNNNNNNNNNNNNNNNNNNNNNNNNNNNNNNNNNNNNNNNNGGUAACUUACAAGAGGAGGUAUUCAUGGCUCAGCCAAAAGGCUAUGUCAAUUCUGAUUUUCCAGAUCAUGUAUGCAGCCUUAAAAAGGCCAUUUAUGGCCUAAAACAAGCCCCGCGCGCCUGGUAUGAGGCCCUCACGGCUUAUUUGAAUACUAUUGGAUUUGUUAAGUCCGAAUCAGAUGCCUCACUGUUCAUUUUUAAAUCCCUGGCUGUUACUGUUUACAUUUUAGUAUAUGUGGAUGAUAUUCUCAUUACUGGGAACCAUCCAAACUUAGUUGCGCAGGUCAUCAACUCUUUGGCUAGCAGGUUCUCACUAAAGAAUCUUGGUGAACUUAAUUAUUUCUUGGGAAUAGAAGUUAAGCGUGUUCCAAAUGGGAUCAUCCUAUCUCAAUCUCAAUAUAUUCUUGAGAUUCUAUCUGAUGUGGAUAUGACAGAUUGCAAAGGGGUUGCCACACCGAUGUGCUCCAGCUCGCCACCUAAAGCAGAUGAUGGUUCACCCCCCGCCGAUGAAACCCUCUAUCGACGCACUCUGGGUAAGCUGCAAUACUUAUCAUUCACGCGUCCUGACAUCUCAUUUGCAGUAAACAAAUUAUCCCAAUUUAUGCAUUCUCCAAGUCUGGAACAUUGGAAGGCUGUAAAAAGGGUUCUGCGCUACCUCAAAUCAACAACAACAUCGUGCUUGGAAAUUCGUCAUCAUGCUGAUUGGAAUUUGUAUAUGUAUGAUGAUGCUGACUGGGCAGGUGAUCCCAGUGAUAGAAUCUCAACAUCGGGUCAUAUGCUCGUCUUGGGACCAAAUCCCAUAUCUUGGUCCGCUAUGAAACAACCAAAAUGUGUCAGGGGUUGAUCAUCGAAACCUGGGCAAUAACGAUUUAGGAAUUUGAGUGUUGAUGUAGCUAAGAGUCACCUUCAUAAUCAAUUCAUUAGGGUCACUAUACUAUCGUUAGAUUUAAUGCUAUAAAUUUUUGCCAAGACAACGACUUCACAAGUAAACUAUAAUUAAUAUUGCCAUCACAGAAAAAAUAACAAAUUUUUAUAUUUUAAAAUGAUUUAAAUAGUUCAUUAUUUAAGGAAACACGCCUCAAAUCAAAGAAAAUAAUAGUAGAAAGACAAAAAAAAAGAUCAUAGAAAUAUUGAGAAAAAUUGUAAACUUUGUUUGUAAAAAUGUUGCUAAAGAUUCAAACAUAAACUUUUUUGGAGAUGAUAUUUCGAAUUUUAGUCUGAGUUCCCACAUAAAAUUUAUGUAAUUUAUCAAAAUAAUUUCAGUACUUCACAUAAUCUAGGGAAGAAUGCAUAGGUUCACUAGUACUUUACAUAAUCUAAGAAGGGUUGCAUAUGUUCACGAGAAUUUUACAUAGUCUAGGGAGGGGUUCAUGGGUUCAUGUGAGCCCAUACCUUUUCCAUGUAAAUCUGAUCUGGCAUGCGCUAAACAUUCAUCAUGUUUAGUACUAGAACUCAUGUAACACCUCGGUAUUUGAAAGAGCUAAAAAUAGAAAGAACUAAAUUGGAAAUAAGCUGCUAAAUCUGAAAAUUUUCAAGUUAUGCUUAAGUUAUGAGUUUGGGUCAACUUCAAACGACCAUAACAUUCAGUACAAGAUGAUUUAGGUGGCCCAUAAGAUAUCAAAUGAAAGUUCUUGGAACCCUCUUUCCAACACCACCGAGUUUGCUAAAUUUCGAGCUCGUAUGAGGGAGAUAUGGUUGAUUGAAGUUGGGUUGUCCAGUUAAGGAAAGUUACCCUAAUUUAAGAGGGGUAUUUUGGUCUUUUCCUUACCUAAUCUGAUUUAAGCGAAUUUUAGUAAUAUUUAGGGGUAUAAACUGUAUUGGUUCAGUUUUCACAAUCCUAAGUUCACAAUCCUAAUUACGCUUAGGAUUUUAAAAGAAAGUUCAAGAAGAGAAAAGAGGAGAAAGUUCAAGACGUUCUUCAAGUUUGCUUGCGAAUCGAAGGUUGUUUCGCCAAGGGUUUGAUCCCUAAGAGGUAUGUGAGUUCUCAUAGUAUUGGGUUCAUUCACCCACAUAUCAAUCAUGUUAUUUUUAGCAAGAUUUCGUUCUUGAAGUUGAAGAGUUUGAAUUCAUGAUAUGUUUCUUCAAGUAUUGUUUCCGUUCUUGAAUUGGGAUGGGUUUUGAUGAGUUCUUGAGAAAAGUUUGCAUAUUUUAAGAGAUUUUUUUAGAAGAUUUUAGUGUAAUUUGGUUGGAUAUUCGAAUCUAAGUGAUUGGGAAAGAAACCAUUCGAUUCUAGGCGAAUUAGGGUCAUAAAAUGAGAAGAAAAUUCAUCGGAAAAGGAUCUAGGCAAAGGCUGCGCCAGCCAGUGUGCCCCAACUACACUUCAGUAGUUCAGGGGCUGGCUCCCAACGCCAACUAGUGCGUCAGGGUCGCCUUCCCCGUCAUGUCUUCAGUUGUCUAACCCGUCUGAGUUCCUUUAAAGUGUUCCUUCAAUCCCUAUUGAUUCUAAACACUCUAAACUACUUCUAAACAUCGAGAAAAUCAUUCAUAACAUGAAUCAUAACCUUCAAUUAAUAAUUCAAAUUCAAGGAAGAGCUAAGAGUAAAGUUUUGAGAAUUUCUUCGAGUCUUUUAAGAAGACUUUUGCAAACCUUUGUAAACUUGUUUUAAGACUUGAGCACUUGAGUUAAGAAAGAGUAGAGUUGAGUUUAUUUUCUUUAAAAAGAUAGAUGGGAACUAAAUAUUCUCAAGAGUAAAUGUUUUCACAUUUAAGAUGAGUGGAAACACAGAUUUCCAAAAGAGUUUUCAUGAGCAGUUUUCAGUACCAUCUCUUUAAGAGAGAGAUUUUGAGUAAUAAUCUCAAACCACAGAAAGAGUUAUGUUUUUAAACAUAUGAGCUAGUUACAUUUUGGGAGUAGUGUUGAGCACCGAUAUGGGGACGAGUUUAGAUAACUCAAAGUCUCCAUAAACCAUGUAGCCAAUGUGGGUAGAAAGGGUCAUACUUUUUAGAUGAUUCCUUAACGUUUUUAGCAUAGACUAGUGGAUCCACUUAGUAGUAGGUCCUAUACCCUGACAAAGUAUGGGACAGUUUUGGCAACGUGGCCUAGACGAUGUAUCAUCACAUAGCUCAUAGUGAUGGUUGUCGAUUAGAGAAUCUCCCACAGAGCUACUUGUAUUUUUUGUAUACAAACUAAUUUAUAUUGUAUUUUCUAAUACAUUGAGUUAUUGUCUACUGUUAUAAAAGCUUUUCUUUAUAUUGCAUAUUUAUCACUGCUUUAUAUUGAAAUGAGUUGAGUUGAGUUGAGACGAGGUAAGUUGUUUCUUCAGUUCUUCUUCAAGCUCAUGUCAUGUUUAGAUUUCCUCUCACAUGCUCGUACAUUCCAUGUACUGACGCCAUUUGGCCUGCAUCUUUUAUGAUGCAAUACAGAAACCAGGAUCAGCAUUCAGCGCUUCGUUGAUCCAGUUGAGCUUCAGAGUUAUUGAUGAGCCUCUAUGCUUUCGGAGGAUCCUUUGUUUACUUUCAGUCAUUUCUUUUUGUUAUUAGGAUGUCGUGGGUCUUUUCAAUAGAGGCUUCAUAGAUAGAUAGACAUUAGUUCAUGAGUCUUUUCAUUUUCAGUUGUUUAUGUUGAGACUUGAGUUGCCUCUUUGGCUAGUGAAUGUUUAUUUCUAAACUAUUCUAAGUUGUCUGAUUUGAGACCUUUCUGAGUUAAAGCUGUCAUUUGAGUUUAUUCUAUGUUGAGUAAGUCUUCCGCUAAGAGUUAAGCCAAGCCAAGGGUUCUCUUGGAGCCAAAAAUGUUUCUUGAGUGCCAGUAGCAUCCAGGGUGUAGGCUUGGGGCGUGACAAACUUGGUAUCAGAGCACAUAGUUCAAGAUUCCUAGGGUGUCUAUGAAGUCGUGUCCUUAGAGUCCUAAUUAUUGGUAUGAAGCGUGCCACAUCUAUAAUUAGAAGGCUGCGACAUUUGGGAACUAUCUCACUUCUUUCAUACUUUUUUGUACGAUAGAGUGCAUCUCUAUAAAGUUUCUCUCUAAUUCAUGCUUACGCAUAUCUUUCAGAUCAUGCCUCCACGAAGAGCUUUCUAAGGUCGUCCUGCUAGGAAAAAUGUUGAUCCUCAGGAUCAAGGGGUCCCCAAUGCACCAGAAGUGUAACCCCAAGGAGAGGUCACUAAUGUUGAGUUCCGGGAAGCUAUCCGGAUGUUGAGCCAAGUUGUGACCAACCCAAGUUGGGAAACAGAGAGAGAUGUGAUAGAAUGUUGCUAAUACGUCAAGGAUCUGUGAGUUCUUAAGGAUGAAUCCUCCUAACUUCACCGAUUCAAGUAUCACUGAGGAUCCGGAAAACUAUGGGGAAGAGCUUCAGAAGGUUUUUGAGGUUAUGUAUGUUGCUUCUGCUGAGCUAGUAAAACUAGUUGCAUACCAAUUGAAGGGUGUUGCUAGGAUCUGGUUUGACCAAUAGAAAAAGAAUAGAGUUGAGAGGCACCGAUUGUGAGCUGGGUUGUGUUUGAGGAGGCCUUCUUGGGGUGUUUCUUUUUCGGUGAACUGAGAGAGGCCAAGGUAAGGGAGUUUCUUACUCUUAAGUAGGAAUCCAUAAGCGUACAUGAGUACAGCCUUAAGUUCACCCAACUGUCUCGUUAUGCCUCGAAGAUGGUUGUUGACAUGAGAAGCAGGAUGAGUCUGUUUGUUGUUGGGUUGUCUCGUCUAUCAAGUAAGGAGGGCAAGGAAGCUAUGCUGAUAGGAGAUAUGGACAUAGCAAGACCUAUGAUCCAUGUGCAGUAGGUUGAGGAAGAUAAGCUAAGAGAUAGGAAAGAGUUCCAGAACAAGAAAGCUAAGACGACAGGAAAUGAGUCCAGACAGCAGAAAAGUAAUGCAAACUGGUCUUCUUUCAACAUAAGCAAAAUGGACCUGCUCCAUCAUCUUCUAGUACACCUACACCAAGGAACAGAGGUGAGUUCAAGAAUCUAAAUUCGCAGAAUUUCAGAGCUAGACCUGCACAGUCUCAAGGUAGUGUGGCACAAGAAGGUAAUUGGACUCCCGCAUGUCCUAAGUGUGGUAGGACCCAUUCAGAAGUGUGUCUUGAUGGCUCCACUGGUUGCUUCAAGUGUGGUCAGAAUGGUCACUUCAUGAAAGAGUGCCCUAAGAACAGGCAGGGCGGUGGUAAUGGGGGAAAUAAAACCCAAUCUUCUUCAGUGGCUCCACCAGACAGAGUUGCACCUAGAAGAGCUACUUCAGGGACUGGUGGAGGAGCAAACCAUUUGUAUGCAAUCACCAGUCGCUAAGAGAAAGAGAAUUAUCCAGAUGUUGUCACUGGUAUGAUCAAAGUCUUUAAUUUUGAUGUAUAUGCCUUGCUAGAUCCAGGAGCGAGUCUAUCCUUUGCGACUCCUUAUAUUGCUAUGAAUUUUGAUAUUCUUCCCGAGAAACUUUUUGAGCCUUUCAAUGUUUCUACACCUGUUGGUGAGUCUAUUUUAGCUGAGAGAGUUUAUCGUGAUUGUACCAUUUCCGACAAUCACAAGGACACCAUGGCUGACCUAGUCGAGUUAGACAUGGUAUAUUUUGAUGUUAUUCUAGGUAUGGACUGGCUUCAUGCUUGUUAUGCCCCAGUUGAUUGUAGAACUCGAGUAGUUAAGUUCCAGUUUCCUAAUGAGCCAGUUAUAGAGUGGAGGAGUAGUUUAGCAGUACCUAAGGAUCAUUUUAUUUCAUACCUUAAGGCGAGAAAGUUAGUUUCCAAGGGUUGCAUCUAUCACUUAGUCCGAGUUUAUGACUCUAGUGUUGAGACACUACCUAUUUAGUCAGUUUCAGUAGUAAGUGAGUUUCCAGAAGUCUUUCCAGUUGAUCUUCCCGGAGUUCGUCCUGAGAGAGAAAUAGACUUCAGUAUAGAUAUUCUUCUUGAUACUCGUCUUAUCUUGAUUUCGCCAUAUAGAAUGGCACCAGUAGAGUUGAAAGAGUUAAAAGAGAAGUUGAAAGAUUUCCUUGAGAAAGGUUUCAUUCGACCAAGUAUCUCACCUUGGAGCGCUCCAGUCUUAUUUGUGAGGAACAAAAAUGGUUCUCUUAGAAUGUGUAUAGAUUAUCGUCAGUUGAAUAAGGUUACUAUCAAGAAUAAGUAUCCACUUCUAGGAAUUGAUGAUCUUUUCGAUCAACUUCAGGGUGCCACUUGUUUUUCUAAGAUAAACCUCAGAUGAGGAUAUCAUCAGUUGAGAGUAAGAGAAAGUGACAUCCCUAAGACAACAUUCAGGACCCUCUAUGGUCAUUAUGAGUUCCUGGUCACUUUUUGUCUAACUAAUGCUCCUGCAACAUUCAUGGAUCUUAUGAACAGAGUAUUCAAGCCUUAUCUAGAUAUGUUUGUUAACGUUUUCAUUGAUUCUAAGUGUGAAUUUUGGCUUGGGUAUGUGGAAUUCUUAGGCCAUAUUAUUUUUGGUAAUGGGAUUUCAGUUGACACUUAAAAGAUAAAGGUAGUGCAAAACUGGCCUAGACCCACAUCUCCAACUGAUAUUAGGAGUUUUUUGGGAUUGGCUAGUUAUUAGAGCAGGCUUGUCGAGGGGUUCUCAUCUAUUUCACCCCCUUUGACUAAGUUGACUCUGAAAAUAGUUAAGUUUCAAUGGUCUGAAACUUGUGAGAAAAGCUUUCAGGAAUUGAGAACUAUGUUGACUACUGCUCUAGUGUUGACCUUACCAGAAGGUACCCAAUGUUUUGUUGUGUAUUGUGAUGCGUCCAGAGUUGGAUUGGGUUGUGUAUUGAUGCAGAAUGGCAUCGUUAUAGCUUAUGCCUCCAGACAGCUUAAGAUUCAUGAGAGGAAUUACCCAACCCAUGAUCUAGAGUUGGCUGAUGUAGUUUUUGCUUUGAAAAUAUGGCGUCACUAUCUUUAUGGUGUUCAUGUGGAUGUAUUCAUCGAUCAUAAAAGUCUUUAGUAUAUAUUCAGUCAGAAAGAGCUUAAUCUCAGACAGAUAAGGUGGUUGGAGUUACUCAAGGAUAAUGACAUGAGUAUUCUCUAUCACUUGAGUAAGGCUAAUUUUGUUGUUGAUGCCUUGAACAGGUUAUCUAUGGGUAGUACGGCCAUGUUGAGGAAGGAAAGAAAGAGUUAGCAAAAUAUGUGCACAGACUUGCACGAUUGAGAGUCUGGUUAAUGGAUUCCAAUGAAGGUGGAGUGGUGGUGAUGAAUGGGGUUGAAUCAUCAUUAGUGUCCGAAGUGAAAGAGAAGCAAGACCAAUACCCUGUUUUGCUUGAAUUGAAGGCAAAUGUUCAUAAGCAGAAAGUGAUGGCUUUUGAACAAGGAGGAGAUGGUGUAUUGAGGUAUCAAGGCAGAUUAUGUGUGCCAAGGGUUGAUGAACUUCAAGAGAGGAUCAUAGAGGAAUCUCAUAGCUCCAUAUAUUCUAUCCAUCCGGGUUCAACAAAGAUGUAUCGUGACCUGAAAGAAGUCUAUUGGUGGAAUAGUAUGAAAAAGAGUAUUGCAGAGUUCGUUGUUAAGUGCAUGAAUUGCCAACAAGUCAAGGUAGAGCACCAGAGGCCCGGUGGUAUGGCUCAGAAUAUAGAAAUUUUGGAAUGGAAGUUGGAGAUGAUCAAUAUGGAUUUUAUUACUGGUUUGCCACAGUCUCGCAGACAGCAUGAUUCUAUUUGGGUGAUCGUAGAUUGAAUGACUAAAUCAGCCCACUUUUUGCCGGUAAAGACUACUCAUUCAGCAGAGGAUUAUGCCAAGUUAUGUAUUCAAGAGGUAGUUAGACUUCAUGGAGUUCCAGUGUCGAUUAUUUCAGAUAGAGGCGCACAAUUUACUGUACAAUUCUGGAAGUCUUUCCCGAAAGGUUUGGGUUCGAAUGUGAACUUGAGUACUGCUUUUCAUCCUCAGACCGAUAGUCAAGCAGAGUACAAUUCAGACUUUAGAGGAUAUGUUGAGGGCAUGUGUGAUCGAUUUCAAGGGUAAUUGGGAUGAUCACUUACCUCUCAUAGAGUUUGCUUACAACAAUAGUUAUCACUCUAGCAUUUAGAUGGCUCCUUUUGAAGCUCUUUAUGGGAUAAGAUGUAUAUCUCCUAUUGGAUAGUUUGAGGUUGGUGAAUCUGGGUUGAUAGGGCCAGACUUGGUCCAUCAAGCUAUGGAGAAAGUGAAAGUUAUUCAAGAAAGGUUGAAAACAGCGCAGAGUCGUUAUAAAUCCUAUACUGAUGUUAGGAGAAGGAACUUAGAGUUUGAAGUAGAUGAUUGGGUAUACAUUAAGGUUUCACCCGUGAAGGGUGUCAUGAGAUUUGGUAAGAAGGGGAAGCUUAGUCCCCGGUAUAUUGUUCCUUACAUGAUAUCUAAGAGGAUUGGAAUGUAGCUUAUGAGUUGGAGCUACCGCAAGAGUUAGCAGCAGUUCAUCCAAAAUUUCACAUUUCAAUGUUAAAAAAGUGUAUGGGCGAUCCUUCGUCUAAAAUACCGACUGAAGAUAUUGGUAUUAAGGACAGCCUAUCUUAUGAGGAUAUUCUCGUCCAUUUCUAGAUCGUCAGGUUCGCAAGUUGAGAACCAAGGAGGUAGCAUCAGUCAAGGUCUUAUGGAGGAAUCAGUUUGUUGAGGAAGCUACUUGGGAGGCGAAGGAGGAUAUGAAGAAGAGAUAUCCACAUCUCUUUGAGUCCAGAGAAAUUCCAAAUUAAGGUACUAAUCCUUUUCUUGGCAUUUAUUUUAGUUGAAAUGUUGUGUUACUUUGCAAUUGAGUGUUUGAGCUGGGUGUUAGAUGUUACCAUCCUUAGUCUACAUAGAGUAAUCUCAUUCGAGGAUGAAUGUUCCCAACGGGGAGAUAUUGUAACACCUCGUUAUUUGAAAGAGCUAAAAAAAAAAAAAAAACUAAAUUGGAAAUAAACUAAAUCUGAAAAUUUUCAAGUUAUGCUUAAGUUAUGAGUUUUGGUCAAUUUCAAAUGACCAUAACUUUCAGUACAUGAUGAUUUAGGUGACCCAUAAGAUAUCAAAUGAAAGGUCUUGGAAUCUUCUUUCCAACGCCACCAAGUUUGCUAAAUUUCGACCUCGUAUGAGGGAUAUCUGGCCGUUUGAAGUCGGGCUACCCAGUUAAGAAAAGUUACCCGAAUUUAAGAGGGUAUUUUGGUCUUUUCCUUACCUAAUCAGAUUUAAGCAAAUUUUCAUAAUAUUUAGGGUUCUAAACUGAAUUGGUUCAGUUUUCACAAUCCUAAUUACGCUUAGGGUUUUAGAAGAAAGUUCAAGAAAAGAAAAGAGGAGAAAAGAGGAGAAAGUUCAAGGCGUUCUUCAAGAUUGCUUGAGAAUUGAAGGUCGUUUCGCCAAGGGUUUGAUCCAUAAGAGGUAUGUGAGUUCUCAUAGUGUUAGGUUCGUUCACCCACAAGCCAAUCAUGUUAUUUUCAAUGAGAUUUUGUUCUUGAAGUUGAAGAGUUUGAAUUCUUGAUUUGUUUCUUGAAGUAUUGUUUCCGUUCUUGAAUUGGGAUGGGUUUUGAUGAGUUCUUGAGAUAAGUUUGCGUAUUUUAAGAGUUGUUUUGAGUAUAUUCUUGUGCACUUUAGUUGGGUAUUCGAAUCUAAGUGAUUGGAGGAGAAACCAUUCAAUUCUAGACGAGUUAGGAUCAUAAUACAAGAAGAAAAUUCGUUGGAAAAGGAUCUGGGCAGAGGUUGGCGCCCUGCGCCAGCCAGUGCGCCCCAACUACACUUCAGUAGUUCAGGGGUUGACGCCCAGCGCCAACUAGUGCGCCAGGGUCACCUGCCCCAUCCAGUCUUUUGUUGUUUAACCCAUCUGAGUUCCUUUAAAGUGUUCCUUCAAUCCCUAUUGAUUCUAAACACUCUCAACUACUUCUAAACAUUGAGAAAAUCAUUCAUAACAUGAAUCAUAACCUUGAAUUCAUAAUUCAUAAUUCAAAUUCAAGGUAGAGCUAAGAGUCAAGUCUUGAGAGUUCCUUCGAAUCUUUUAAGAAGUCUUUUUCAAACCUUUUUAAACUUGUUUUAAGACUUGAGCACUUGAGUUGAGAAAGAGUAAAGUUGAGAUCAUUUUCUUUAAAAUGAUAUAUGGGAACUAAGUAUUCCCAAGAGUAAAUGUUUUCACAUUUAAGAUGAGAGGAAACACCGAUUUCCGAAAGAUUUUUCAUGAGCAGUUUUCCGUACCAUCUCUUUUAAGAGAAGAUUUUUGAGUAAUAAUCUCAAACCACAAAAAGAGUUAUGUUUUUAAACAUAUGAGCUAGUUACAUUUGGGAGUAGUAUUGAGCACCAAUAUGGGGACGAGUUCAGAUAACUCAAAGUCUCCAUAAAUCAUAUAGCCAACGUGGGUAGAAAGGGUCAUACUUUUUAGAUGAUUCCUUAAUAUUUUAAGCAUAGACUAGUGGAUCCACUUAGUAGUAGGUCAUAUACCCCAACAAAGUAUAGGACAGUUCUAGCAGCGUGGGCUAAAUGUUGUAUCAUCACAUAGCUCAUAGUGAUGGUUGUCGGUUAGAGAAUCUCCCACAGAGUUACUUGUAUUUUUUAUAUACAAACUGAUUUAUAUUGUAUUUUCUAAUACAUUGAGUUGUUGUCUACUGUUUUAAAAGCUUUUAUUUAUAUUGCAUCUUUAUCACUACUUUAUAUUGAAAUGAGUUGAAUUGAGUUGAGACGAGGUAAGUUGUUUCUUCAGUUCCAGUUCAAGAUUAUGUCAUGUUUAGAUUUCCUCUCACCUGCUCGUACAUUCCAUGUACUGACGCCAUUUGGCCAGCAUUUUUUAUGAUGCAGAUACAGGAAACCAGGAUCAGCAUCUAGGGCUUCAUUGAUCAAGUUGAGCUUUAGAGUUAUUGGUGAGCCUCCUUGCUUCCGGAGGAUCCCUUGUUUAAUUUCAGUCAUUUCUUUUUGUUAUUAGGAUGUCAUGGGUCUUGUCCCGACGUCCAUCUCAGUUAGUAGAGACUUUUUCAUAGAUAGAUAGACAUUAGUUCAUGAGUCUUUUCAUUUUCAGUUGUUUAUGUUGAGACUUGAGUUGCCUCUUUGGCUGGUGAAUGUUUAUUUCUAAACUAUUCUAAGUUGUCUGAUUUGAGACCUUUUUGAGUUAAGGCUGUCAUUUGAGUUUAUUCUAUGUUGAGUAAGUCUUCCGCUAAGAAUUAAGCCAAGCCAAGGUUUUGCUUGCGGCCAGAAAUGAUUUUUGAGUGCCAGUCGCGUCCAGGGUGUAGGCUCGGGUUGUGACAACUCAAUCCAUCAAAUUAGAACCCAAACUAUCAAUACCAAAACCAUUUCAUACAUAACCCGCUGGAAUCCAUGGUAGAUGGCUGAUAUGCAUAUGUAUUUGGUGCUUGCUUAGGAUAUAUUUGAACGACAUAAUUUUGUAACUUAAGAGUAAACUAGCAAGAGAUCAUUCAAUUUACAUUGAGAAAAUCUUAGAAGAAAACCAAAAAGAUCAACAACAAUAUACUCUAUGUAAUCCCAUAAGUGGGCCUGGGUGGGUAGAAUGUACGCAGACCUUAUCUCUACAUUGGCGGGGUAGAGAAAUCGUUUAUGAUAGACCCUUGGCUCAAAAUAAAUGUAACUGAUGUAGGAAAGAAAGAAAAAAAAAUAGCAAUAUAUACACAAAACAAAAGCACCAUCAUAAAUUAUACCUUUUGGUAAGCCUCUUCCUUCCAAUCAGCUCCAUUUCCAUUUCCCAUCUUAGCUGAAGAAUAUAAAAGUGCUACAAAUAAAACAAAAUUGAAGACAAUAGUUGUCACGACCCGAGACUACCCUCUAGACGUGACACGGCAUACAAGACUCUGAAAAGUCUCAUACAUGCCUCUUAGCAUAUCUUGAACAUAAGAUCAUAGGAAAUAGUGCGGAAUUUAAAACUUUUCUUUAAAUACAACCGAAGUCAUUUUUCAUAAAAAGCAAGCGAAAGUCUUUUCUAUACUGUCUCAAACCAUCUACAACACUUUGAAUAGCUUUGGGACUUAGCCCAUACAAAAGCUUUAAACAUAAAGUAAAAGACAUAAAAGGGAAAUAGUGGGUUUGUCCUCGAAACUAUGAGGACUCACCAAAUCUUCAUAUCCUUGCACCUUAGAAACCUAUCUUCCAAGUAUAUGACAUCACAUCUCCAAACCCUACACUUUUGUAGAAAAUGAAGAAAUAUGGGUUAGCACAUUGAAUGUACUAAGUAUGAUACUCAUGCAAAAACCAUGCUUAAAACGAACAUUUCAUUUGAAAAUCAUUCUUUAUGCCAAUUUUGAGAAAACUUCAUGAUCAUAAGUAUAAGAGGCAUAAGAUACAACAUAUUCAACAUAUAAGCCAUUUCAUCACAUUAGAGCAUAAUUAACAUAUAAGCCAUUCCAUCACAUUAGAGCCUUCACCUUAAGUAACCCUAAGCUAUACUUUGUGCAAUGUAUGAAAAGUGUUCCAUACCACCAUCCACACUAAGUACCACAUUAAGGCCACUAAAAGCGAACUUACCAUUCAUCCUUUUCACCUUUAAACAAUACACAUACAUAAGAAACAUAAGCAUUUCAUAAGGCAUGACAAGGAAGUAACUCAUAAUACGAUCCAAGUAAAGCAUGCAUCAUUACAUUAAGCAUAUAAGAGUCAACAUUAUUCAUUAGCUUUAUUUAGAGCACUUUCAUUCAUUAGUCAUGAAGACAUUAGAGAACUCACUAUAGCCCUCUCAAAGCCUACUCGUGCAAUGCAUGGAUGGCAUCUCAUACUACCACCCACACUUCAUAUAACUUCUCAAGAAACCAUAGUGCACAUCUCACAUGAUGGGAAUAAGUGUUUAACCGACAUAGACCAUGAGAGCUAAAUCAUGGAAUCUGAUGUACUAUCCCACAUCGUAAGGAUUGGCGUACUUGCCUAAGGUAGGACCGAUAACAUUUUAGCUUAAGUGGAAUCCACUAGCUAAUAUCUUAUGUGGGCACAUAGUUAUGGGAUAGGAAGAUGUUCAUUGGAACCCGGCCUAAAUAUGGGGAGAGUUUCCAUCUUACCAUAUCCACUCAGUGCUUAGCCUUUAUUCCCAUAGAGUAGUUCAUUCACAUUAGCAUUAUUACACAUGAGAGGGUGUCAUUGGCCUACCGACCCAAAGUGCAUUACACAUGAAAGGGUGCCAUAAGCCUACCGAUUCAAGGUACAUUAUAAGGAUAGCUCAUUGAAUCCUCAUGAAAGGGUGCCAUAAGCCUACUGAUUCAAGGUUCAUCAUUUCACACAUGAAAGGGCUACCAACAUUAGGUCUACCGAUUCAAGGUUUAUCAUCAACAUUCAUGGAAGGGUGCCAUAAGACUACCGAUCCCAAAGUUUAUUAAUAUCAUUUAUGGAAGGGUGCCAUAAGCCUACCGAUCCCAAGUUUCAUUAUGAACAUGCAUGGGAGGGUACCAUUAGCCUACCGAUCCAAAGGUUCAUUAUUAACAUGCAUGGGAGGAUGCCAUUAGCCUACCGAUCCAAGUUACAUCAUUAGAAUAGGUCAUAGACUCAUCAAGUAAGGGUUACCAACAUUAGGUCUACCGAUUCAAGUUUAUUAAGUCAAGACACAUUCAUUAGUCAUUUAUGAAAGGAAUGCCAUAGGCAGAUCGAUUCAUAAUCAUUAAGUCAAUACACAUCCAUUACACAAAAGAGGAUGCCUAAGCCUACCAACUCAAGAUUCAACAAUCAACAAUACUUUCAUUCAUUCAAGAAGAGGAUGCCUAAGCCUACCAAUUCAAGAUACCAUCAUCACAUUACUUUCAUUUAUACAAGAAAAGGAAUGCAUAAGCCUACCAAUUCAAGAUACAACAUUCAAGGUCACAUUCAUCAAUACAAGAAAAGGAUGCCUCAAGCCUACCAAUUCAAGAUACAUCAAUCCACAUUACUUUCAUUUAUACAAGAAAAGGAUGCAUAAGACUACCAAUUCAAGAUACAAUGUUACAUUGAAGAAACCCUUCACAUUAUAUCAUCAUCAUUCAUAAGUGCAUAAUUGAGAAUAAGCUUUCAAUCAUAACACAAUUGCAUUCUAAACAUGAUCAUAACACUUUCAUUGAGAUCACACACAUACACUUCACAUCAUAAUCAUACAUAAAUCCUUCAUGAAAUUGCCUUCCAAAGCUAUACAUCAAUCACAACUCAAACAUCUAAGAUACUACAAUACAUAAGGGAAUUAACAUGAUUCAAUAACUAAUUCAAUAUAAACAUAAACAAUUCUACAUAUUUUCAUGAUCACUCAAUUCCCAAUCACAAUUCACAACUUAGGGUUUUGGGGUAGACAUGGGUUCAUAGGGUAAAAUCAUCUUAAUUAACCAUUAAAACAUCAAUUAAACCAUGAUUCAUCACUUAAAUGCCUUUUGAAAACGUUUGGAAUUGAACCCAUGCAUAUAUUGAAAACCCUAGGUUUUUGGGGGAUUUUGGAGACUUGAAAUCAUCUUUGAAAUUGGCUCCUUGAAAGAAACUAAGUCAAGGAUGAAGACUACCAUACCUCUUAUGGAAGAACUCCACGAAAAUCACUUGAGAAAGCUGAAAACUUGACCUUCAAAUCUUGCCUCCUUCUUCUCCAAUGGAGGUUUCUAGAGAGAGGAUUUUUGCAGAGGAGGGAAGGCUUAUAAUUUGGGUUUUGAAAUAAUGAAUUGAAAAGGUGUUUUAAUACUUUAAAAACCCUUAAAAUGCAUUAAUAUACGAAUAAUAACCGUCCAUUAACUAAACUAAAUUAAAUAGGAAAUUACUAACCUACCCUUACCUUUGGCGGAAUCUUGACGGCAUAGCAAUCAUGACCUACGCCCCAUGACCUACGGACCGUAGGUGGGGUGAUGCCCCGUCCUGUUGGUCCGUGGUUUGGGGCUAGAACAUGUCACUUUGGGGCCUGACCCACGACCCCCACCUACGGGGCGUGGGUCCAUCUACUGGCCGUAGAUGGCCAUCCGUAGAUCACUAUAUAUUUGGCAGCUUUUUGGUUUCUUGGGGUCUUGGGGGUUAGGCUUUAGGGUCCUCCUCAAGGACCCCUUGGGUGGUCCUUGGGGAGUCGUACCUUGACGUAUAACCCCUAAACCCCUCAACCUAAGCUCGGGAAGACAUUCUACCACAUGAAACCCCAUUACAACUCAAACAUACAAUCAUUAGGCUCUAGUUUCACUUACUAGAUUUUCGGGUCGCUACAAUAGUAUAGCACAAAAUAAGAAGUUGAUUGCUUACAACAUUAUAAUUUCAGGUAAAUUUUAGGACAAUGUUAGAUAUUAUUUAAGGUAUAUAGAUACAUUAUAUUUGUCAUCUAAAUGUACUUAUCUAAGAAUGGGUAUAUAUAUAUUAAGACAUAAUACAUAAACAUGACCCUUCACUUGGCUUCCGCGGACAUCUAUGCCCUCCAACUUUGAGUGUGCACAAAUAGACACUUAAACUUGUAUAAAAUUGAAUAAGUCGACACAUGUGUCCUACAUGACAUUGUACACGUAGGAUGCCAUGUAGACCACAAAAUUUUCAUGUAGGGUUCCAUGUAGGACAGAUGUGUCCAUUUGUUAAAUUUAUACAAGUUUAAGUGCAUACUUGUGCACACCCAAAGUUAAAGAUCAUAGUUGUCAGUUGACGCCAAGUUAAGGGUCAUGUUUAUGUAUUAUGUCAUAUAUUAAUAUGUUCAUCUUUUUUAUCCAUAUUUAUUUAUAUUAUAUUAAAAGCGGGAAUUCCAACUUAAAAGUUAAAUUACUAAAAAUACCCAGCUAAAUAAUCUAACCUCAAGCUAACACCCCUUCUUUAAUCAUCAGCAAUGCUUCAUAUUCAACGAGCAUGUAAGGCUACUUCACAUUUUUAGAGAUUUUACUCUCUUACAUCGUUACAUGUUUAUAUCCUUUAACACCAUACAAAUUUUGAUGCACCUAUUUUUUUCCUCUCGUCAAGAUAAUUUCUUUGCUUAUUCUUUUCUUGCUUAAAGAUAAACUCUCAACAAUUUUUUUGCUAUCCCAACAAAGAAUAAUAUGAAAAUAUAUUCCUUAAAGAUUUGGGUGUUUUCUUUUCAAAUCCAUUUUCAAAACGUGUUUUUGGUGUUAAGGAGUGUGUAUGCUUCUUGAAAGUACUGAGCAUUUUGUAGUCUUCUCAAUAUAGUUGGCGCAUUGUGUAUGUUGUCGUGGAUUCGUGGUGUUGAUUAGUUGGUUUAACUGCCUUUUAGGACAAGUUCUUAGUGCAAAUUAUGUUGAGAUUUAUAGUAUUCUUGAUAAACAAUUGUUUCAAAAUUGUUGGAUAAUUAUAUUAAUAUAUAAUUCCUGUGCAAAUUUACUUAUGUGUUUGUCGUGUGUUUGUAUUUUCUAACUCUUAUUGCACGGGUAUUUAAAGGGGAAGGUCGAGGAUUUUAGUGGGUAAUUUUUAUGUAUAAAUCACUCCGUACAUGGCUGUCUAUGCAGAUACUAUUGGUGAUGACGAAGCAAGUAGUUGAGGCGUUCGCUAGAGUUGAUCCAGUUGUUGAGGUGAAUUGUUGCAUUGUUCGUGGAGGAUUUCAAAAGAGUUAUUAACAUUUAUUCCGAGUCCUUUUGUGAUUCCUUAUAAUGCUUCAUGGUCUGGUGUGGGAUUUGGGCAAGAGUGUUAGAUUAAUAUUUUAAGAUACCAAGUGUUCAUAAUUAUUUAUCAUAUCGUUUGAAUACUUAUUUAGUUCAUCAAAUGUUGUGAAUUGAUGGUUUAAGGUAUAGAAAUUGGGUUCACUUGAAUGGUGAAGUGUGUUGGUGCCAUUCAUGCCUAAGGGAUAGUUUGGGACGUGACAUAAAUCUAAAAUUCACUCCCUGAAGUAGUAAAUACUUUGAAACUAACUCCCAAAGUAAUAGAACUUAGAACUUCAUUCCCAGAGUAGUAGAACAUCAAAAUUACUCCAAAAGUGGUAAAAUUUAGAGCUUACAUUCUUCAAAUAUUAGAACUUUAAAAUUUUCUCUUGAAGAAAAAUAAUUUGAAAAAUGUAUGUUAGCAAUUUCCGAUCUUAUGAACACAUGUGCAAGUAUUUCCUGAUCAGGUUUAUCACAACACCAGUAUCUUGAUAGGCCUUCUAGACCCCAUCUUCUCAGUCUAUCAUCUACUGAAAUCUUGAAUUUCCACAACCUCCACAUCAUAAAAGCUAUUUUGAAGGGAAUUCAUUUAGUCCAAAUCCUCUUAUGUAUUAUAUUCAGAUCUUCCUUGUGUAUUAUACAAUUCCAUGUUGAUUUGAUAGUGAAGCUUCCCCUUGAAUAUAAUACCCAACACAAUUUAUCUUUCUCCAUACUACCUUUAAGAGGUUUUAUGUAACAAAUGAUAUGCUCCACCAACUCCGUGGGAGAAUUUCCUGCAGAACCUCCACAUCCCAUUCUCCCUAUUUAGCAAGCUCCUCCACCUUAUCAUAUAUAUCGUCCCAUUCAAAGUCAUCCCCUGUGAUUGUGUAUAAAUCUCCCAACCAUGUCCAAUUAUCAGACCACACUGAUGUUGAUCCUUUUCUAGUCUGCCACAAUAUUUGGUGUUCAAUCAAACCUUGUGGCUGCAACAUCUUCUUCCACACUUGGGAACCUCCUCCUCCAACUUUCACAUUACUAAGUUAGGAUUCCUUGACUUACAAUAUUUGUUCUUCAUGUAUUCACUCCAAAGGGUUUGCCCCGUUCUAAAGUUCCACCAUAACUUACAGAAUAAAGCUCUCAACACAUUAUGCAUAAGUCUGAAUCCAAGUUCUUCUUCCUCCUUUGGUAGGCAAAGGUUGCUCCAUGUGCUCUAUUAUCUACCUCUUCCCUCUAUGCAACUAUUCCAGAUUAAAUUGGGCCAUCAUUUUUUGCACUUGUUUCAAUACAUUUCUAGGACAGUUUAUGACUAAUAAACAGUGUAUAGGAGUGUUUUGUAGGAAAUGUUUAAUCAAAAUGGCUCGGCCCCAUAUGUUAAAAGCUUACCUUUCCACCUUUGUAUCUUUGCCCCAAUCCGAUGAAUUAUUUGUUGAUUGUAUGCCUUUUGUUUCCUUUUAUAUAAGAUAGGACACCCCAAAUAUGUAAAUUGAAACUCCUUCCUUAGUAUUCAUGUAGCUACUUCAGCAACCACUAGCUUUCCUCCUGAAACACUGUGAUGCAGGUAGAUUGCACUUUUUUCUUUAUUCACCAUCUGCCCCGAUACUUUUUCAUACCUCCUAGGUACCUCACUAAUCAUAUUCAUUGUUUCAACCUCCGCAUUGCACGGUAUGUUCAUAUCAUCCCCAAAAGUAAGGUGAUUUAGCUUCAACUUCCCUUUAGACAUACCAAAUUCUUUCUCAUGAGAGCAUUUAAAGAUCUUGACAUAACUUCCGCCGCCAGUAUAAAGAGGGUGGGUGAGAGAGGAUUGCCCUAUUUUAAUACCCUUGAGGACUUGAAAAAAUUGUUGGGUUGACCAUUUAGUAGAAUUGAAUACCGUUACUACUAAUCAGUCUAAACACCAUAUCAAUGAUUCUAUCUCCAAACCCCAAUUUUCUUAAUACCUUGGCUAAAAACAGUCUCUCAACCCUAUUAUAGGCUUUCACCAUGUCCAGCUUAAUUACAAGAUUAAGCGAUUUUCCCUUUUCCCUUAUUUCUAAGAUUAUUUCUUGCAUCAUUAAUACAUUCUCAGCUAUGCUUCGCCCUUGCACAAGACCUACUUUCUCUGGUGAUAUAAAUUGAGGUAAAACAACCUCAAUUCUUUCAUGAAUAAUCUGUGAAAAAAUCUUAUUCACAAAGUUACUCAAAAGAGAUAGGCCUCAAAUCUGAAAAAGUAUUCACCAUUGUCUUCUUCGGAAUCAGUACUAAGUUUGUAUGGGUAAUAAAUCAAGGAAGUUCUGCACCAUAGGAAAAAAAAGGCUUAAGUUAUAUUAUGAAUGUCUUCUCCAAUGAUUUCCCAAGUAUUUUGAUAGAACGCCCAUGUCAUACCAUCUGGUCCUCCUGCACUAUUUCGAUUCAACCCUAUAACUGUAUGCAUUUCUUGAAUUUCCCCAUUCUUAUCACUGUUCACCAUUUCUGCCAACUCAUUUAACAUUUCAAAAUCUGGGCAAGUUGUUUUCCUAGUAAAUUGCUUGAUAUAGAAGUCAACUAUGGCACCUGCAAUGUCUUCUUGAACCUCCAUCCACUCUUCUUCAUCAUUUUAUAUUUUGCUGACCCUCAACCAGCUUCUUCUGCCCUUCACUAUUAUGUGAAAUAAUUUUGUGAUUCUCUCACCUUCUUCAAACCACUCCAUUUCCACUUUCUGUUUUCAGAAUUCCUCCUCCCUACGUAAUUGUUUUUCAGCUCUACUUUUUCUUUAUGGAUAUUUUCUCAAUUACCUCCUGAUGGAGUCCCUUCAAACUCCAAUUCUUGAAUUCUAAUGGCUUCCUCUAGAGUGGAUAUUUCCUAAUAUUCCAUAUUAAAUCCUUCAUUGAUAUUUGGGGUUUUUGACAAUCGUUCUUUAGAUUAUCUAGAUUAUGCUUGAGCCCGUGUCGAUUCUCCUCCAACUUGUUUCCUUUGCUUUGUAUGAUUACCCUUCAGUUUUCCUAUCUAUGUAGGGGAUAAAUCAUCUUUUAUAGUCGUCCUAGCUAUAUUUAGAGUUGGUCAACUUUCUCCCUAAUAUUUUCCUUAUGCUCCAAUACUUUCCUCAUCAUUGUCAUUUUGAAUUUCCAGCGGAAGUACUUCCUCAUUGUUUAUUUUCAACAAUCACCAAAGCUCUUUCAUUCACCUCAUAAUGACUUUCUUUAUUUUUCUUAUUACCUUCUUCUUCCUCUGUCCCUUGUUAGCAUUGUGUGGAUUCGGUGUGGCUUUGUCCUUUCUUAGUGUUUUCAAUUUUGUGAUCAGUAGUAAUGCCUUUUUAUUCUUGAAUUUUUUUAUCCUCCUUAUAAACAAACGUUUUAUUUACCCAAUCCUUGGUGAUUUUGUCAUUUGCUUUGUCUUCAUUGACUUCAUUUGUAACAUGCGCAUCCUCCUCCCUAAGUGCCUCAAAGGAGUUUUCAUCCUGAUAGGAAAUUUCUCCUUCAAUAUGCCCUUAUUUAUAUCUUUUAUACUUAUUUCUUCUCCUUACCAUCCACUCUUGUCGAUUCUGUUUAUUGCCCACCACCUUUCCACUUGUCAAGGUUCUUCUUUGAUCAACCAUCGAACCUGUAAAGUUAUGUAUGUUUUCCUUCUCUUCCUUCUGUUGAUCCUCAUCACUCCUUGUUUCAUACAAUUCAAGAUGUAUUGUCCAGCAAUUGUGUUCCACUUGGAUUUUAUUUUUCCUGCAAUAUCAUCUUCUUCAUUAACCUUUACUCGUUGGGUAGCUUUGCAGUCAUUUCGCCUUCAAUUUUAACUCUUGCACAACUUGGUCGUGUUUAAUUUUUUGUCGCCAUGUCCACCGUUAACGGCUUGCCAAUCACACUCGGUAUUGAGAAAAUUGCCUCCUUAGCGGAAAAAAAUUAGUGGUAGAUCUGAGAAUGAUAUGCAAGCAACACCAAUAGUUGUUUCAACAUCCAGUUCAAACCAUGGAUCCCUUUUGAGGGUUCUCAUCUGUCAAUAACUCUCCUUUGCAUUGACAUGAAAAGUUACAGUAGAUAAUAGAUGCACGUAGUCUUCCAUUAUCGUAAGUCUGAUUAGUAUGUGCCUCGUGUCCAACACAUCUAUCGUGCAUUCACUUUUAAUUUCACAUUGCCCUGGUAUUGUCUUCCUCAGUACCUUCACAUCUGGUUUGCCAUACGAAAAUUCUCCUAUGAUGACAUAGUGCAAAUUCUCCUUAAUGAUAAGUGAUCCGACUUCCGAUGUUUUGCACAUGAUGCUCGGUUCACCAUGAAGUAUUAUCACUAGCUUGGGUGGGACGGUGGGGAUUUUUGGGGUACUAGGUUUUGGUUUAAGUAAACUGGCAAAAAGAUAUUUACAUUUUUUAAAAUAAGACAAAUUGCAUGCUACAAUAGGCAAAAGUGACUUGAAACAAGUGUUACCCCGUGCUUGGCCACGAACAACAUUUUCAAAUUUUAAACUUGAACUUUUGUUCAUAAGGUAAGCGAAGGUCGAAAGUUGAAGACCACCAAAAAAAAAAGUCAUAUUUCUACUUCUUUUUUUUGUUCCAACUCUUUUCCUUGAUAAGUAAGUAAAUCUCUGAACAAUAAUUUUGGGCUUAUAUCUUUUCUUCACAAAUCAUGGACUUCUGCCUAUCUAAUUUGUACUAAAACUAGGUAGAAUUGGGCCAAUAACAAGGCUCUAGAAAGCAUUCUAACUAUAAAACAUUUGGACCUGGGCUUUAUUCAAUGUCAAGUUUACUACUUGAGCCCAACAACUAUAACAACCACAAUCAUAUAAUCGAUUUCAAUUUUUCUAGAAUUGAGGUGUGAUUGUUAUUUAAUAAUCUGGUAUUUAAUUCCUACUGAUUCGACUAAUCAAGAUUCAUGUUGAGUAUACUUAUUGAGGGAGUAAAAUUUUAUAUCGAAAAGUUCUCCGCUUAAAUCGGUGCUCAAAAUCAAGACAUUUAGUCAAAUGAUGAAUAGAUCCAACCAUUUGUUGGAAAACUAUAUGCACAGCGGAAGCAUACUAGAAUUUUACUGCUUACAUGAAUAAUAGAUAACCAAUACCGUUUAUGCUAGAACACAUAAACUUGUUGAAAUUUAAAUCGAUAAAUACCUCUUGAAGCGUGAGCAGAUAUCUUCAAGCGAAUCCCCAAGUUAGACAGCAACUAUGAUCUUCCACGGUGAUCCCAAGUUCACAUCCGAACUCUCUCAAUACUUGGGUGGGCAAGUAUCGAAUAGAAAACUAAUCCAUCUUUUUCUAGGUUAGGAGAAUCAUAGAGAUUCCUUCCCAAUCCAAAAAGGAGAAGAAAACCCAGUUUUCUUGAAAAACAAGAAAACAAACGCUUGACUCCUUUUUCCCUUAAGAAAUAGGAUUCUGAGUUCUAGUUAAAUAUGGGCACUNNNNNNNNNNNNNNNNNNNNNNNNNNNNNNNNNNNNNNNNNNNNNNNNNNNNNNNNNNNNNNNNNNNNNNNNNNNNNNNNNNNNNNNNNNNNNNNNNNNNNNNNNNNNNNNNNNNNNNNNNNNNNNNNNNNNNNNNNNNNNNNNNNNNNNNNNNNNNNNNNNNNNNNNNNNNNNNNNNNNNNNNNNNNNNNNNNNNNNNNNNNNNNNNNNNNNNNNNNNNNNAGGCAUAUUGACCCAUCUCAGAAUCUCACCUUUUAAUAAAUCAAAACGAUAAUUAAUAUAUACAGAUCAUAAUAGUUAUAUCAGGAUUAAGAAUAUAAGUACAUUUAAUAGUUUAGAGAAUAUGUUUUGUCAGUCAGUCUAAAACAACUAUCUCUACUCGGUCUCGUUCAAUACAUACAAAAUGCACUAGCACAAGAAGUUAGAACUAUGCCGUUCCCAUAAUCAAGAUAUAUUAGAUAUAAUCUUGUGCUACAAUCGUACCGAUGGCAUGUCCAAUUUUCAUCAUAGAUUGUGAACAAAAAACUUUAUACUUAUAAGAACCGAUGAUUUAAUCCUCUGUCUAUAAGCUAAAACUCUACACACUAAAUCAUCUACUAUAUAAGUAAACAGACACCAUAAACGAAUAUAUGAUAUAUUAAAAUUGAGCAAAUAUUUAUUCUAUAAUAAAUAUUAUUUCUUAACACAUGGUUAAUAGUAUAUAUUCCAACACCAUUCCACCAUAUCUCUUUGCAACGAAGUGGAUAUAACUUGGAUCACCAAAAGUCUAGUGAAAUAGAUUGAAAUCCCUCCGUUCUUAAUCAAUAAUUUCAUAUACGAACUGUGGAAUCGGAAAAAUACAUGCACAUAAUGAUUUCCUCUCAAAUGAUCCAACGCAUAGAAUAUAAUUCAUAUAGUUAGUCAAAUAGAAUAUUUAAGAUAUCAUAUGAUCAGAAAAAUAAAAAAGAACAUUUACUGCAGUAAUAAUAGCAUAUCCUGUGAAAUCGAAAAAAUAUAUGCAUAAGCCUUAUGUUUGUCUGAGACUGAGAUGUUGAGAUGUUGUGUUCGAUAUACCUCGACUUCACAAAAAAAAAAAAGUUAUAAAACAACAUUUGAAAACAUUUUUUUUCUCAUUUGGGACAAAAUAUGCACACUUGGUACCAGGUGGGUACUAUCUGGCAAAUCAGUGAAGCAACAUUUUUUUAUAACAUUAAUGAAUAAUAAAGUGGAAACUAUUUAUUAAAAUAUUAAAAAGGAAAAAAACAGAGGAGAUAAAGGUUAGUUUUCAAUUUAAUAUUUGGUCGGUGCUGAUUUAUCAUGGCCUCCCAUGCAAACGCGUGAAUGUAAAAUACAAUUAUACCCUCAAACUUUUUCUAAAAAUCAAUUUAAUGACAUUAUUUUAUCUUUUGAAGGAAAAAGAAUCAAAAUUUCAUUUUUUGUGUUUUCUCUGAUAUGAGACCUGUUUUAAGUCGGACUAAUUAUAUUUGCUUUAAAAUUUUAUUUUAAGAAUAAAAUAUUUUCUAUCAAAGACUAUUCAUUUUCAAGACUGAAUUAAACACGGGAUCAGUGUAGCUAGAGCUAUCCUAGAGUGUCCAAUUGAACAUUUUUCGUCGGAAAAUUACGUUAUACAUAUAUAGAAUUUAAAGAUAUAUAUAUAUAUAUAUAUAUAUAUAUUUAAAGUUGGACACCGUUAACAAAAGUUACUUCUUCUGUCCUUAAUUACUUGUCUACUUUUCUUUAAAUAGUUGUCCCUAAUUACUUGUCCAUUUGACAAAUCAAGAAAGGACAAAAAAAAAAUUACUCAUUAUACUCUCAAUUAAUUACUUUAAAAAAGAUGGAACUUCUUGAAAAUCUUAAGUUUUUAAUUCAUUCAAUUCAUAAUUAAUAGUGGUAAAAUGAUAAACUCGCUAUAUCAAUAAUUAUUUUCUUAAUAGGUGUGUCAAUUUAAAUGUGGAUAAGUAAUUAGGAACAAAAAGAGUAUGACAUAGUGAUUAUGAGUGUUCAUUUCAAUGAAUGAGUUCUAGGCUAAAACCCCAAAUAGCACAAUCUUCUAAAAAGUCUAUGAAAUUAUGUCAAAUAGUAGUAUUAUUGUGUUAUAUGCAAGUCAUUUAAAGAAUAUUUAUAAUUUAAGUCAACUAGAAGGAGUUAUAAAUAACUCUAUUUAUAAUCUAGUGUAACAUUUAAAUUAUCAUAAUGUGUAAACUUAAAUAACUAAAGUCCAUGAAAUAAUAAAGCCAUUCACACUCAAGAAUAUAAAAAGGUACAAAAAAUGGUAUAAAUUUUAAUGAUCUUUGCCAGAUAGACCUCCUUGAUUGGUUCAAUUUGACAGAUAGAAUUUCAUUCAUUAAUUUGUGAAUUGAUAAGACAUUUUCUAGAAAAAUUCUACACACUGAGGUCGUUUGGUAGAUUGUAUAAGAACAAUACAAAAUAGGGUGUAUUAGUAAUGCAUGUAUUAGUUAUGCAAGCAUUAUUUCUUAUACAUUGUUUGAUUCGAUGUAUUAGAAAUAACAAAUCUUGCAUAAUUUCUAUUGAAAAAUAUAUGUUUACAAAAAUACCUUUCACACUUUAUUUAUUUGUACACUUCCUUUGCAAUAAAGUUCUUUGCACACCGAAAAAGAUAUCUUUGCUAAAACAUCUUCUUCUUCUUCUUCUUUUUCUUUUUUUUUUCAAAAAUAAGAUUAAAUAGUUGUACUAUUGCGUCAAAAUAUUUUUGUGAAAAGUGGCAAAUAGUUUUUUUUUUAUCAAAUUUAUCGUCACAAUAGUAAAAAUUUUGAUUAAAUUAUAUUGAAAUUAGAUUUAUUUUUUUAAAAAAAAAAGAUACUUAAGAGGCCAUAAAGCCUAUUAAGACACCAAAAAAUUAAAAGACACUAAAAAACAAAUCAAAAAAAAAAUAAAAAAAUUAUGACAACAAAGAAAAUAAAAAGGCUUUAAGGAUAGUUUUGUAAUUAUUAAAGAGAAAAUAGGCAAAAGCCCUCCUAACCUAUAGCCGGAUUUCCAACUACACACUCAUACUUCACGGGGGUCCUAUUACCCCCUUGAAUUAUUUUAAAAUGAAAUAAGUAGCCCCUUAAAACAUCAUAACCAGAUAUGUGUCUUGUGGUGAAACACACGCACUUGACACGUGUAUUUCACCUUUUGAUCAUUUUUUUUAAAACGUUUUUUUCUCUUUCUUCUUCAUUCAUUUUUUAGCCCUAAUUUUUUUUUUUAUUCUUCUCCCUUUCUGACUUGUUAUUUUUUUAAAAAAACAAUUUAAGGUCUAAGUUUAUGAAUGUAUUUUGGAUCUUCAAAUUUGAAACAUGUUGAUAACAUAGAUGGCUGCUAAUUAUUUGAAGCUAAAUACAUUGAGUUUGAUUGAGUUUAUGGUUGCGAUUUUUAGAUUUGAAGAAACACCGGAAUUUCAUGGAAAUCGACAAGCUUCCAUAUGAAAUUAUUGAAUCUAUAUUCUUGAAGUGGGAGCAACUUUCAGAUGAUUUGAAGAGUUCUUUAUGUUUGAGAAUUGAAAACUGAAGCUCAUGGUUUAAUGUGAAGUAUUAACUUGAAACCUCCAUUAAAGUUAGUUCAAAAGCUUGAGCUAAAAAUUCAACUUGCCACAACGAGCACCUUUUUGAGUGCGUAAUAUAUCAAAAGAAUCGAAACUCCAAGGGAAGCUUAAAUCUAAAAUUUAGGGCAAUUUGGAGAAGAUUUAGAGUGGUUUCGCAUCAAAUUUCAAAACAAUGGAACGAAGAAGAUGAAGAACAAAAAAUUUUCAGAUUCCCUGGAAAUUGCCCGGUUAUUAAAAUUAGUAGUGGAUCUGUUAGGAAUUAAAUAUAGGAUAAAAAAUUAUCCUAGUAUUAAAAGUUUAUUGAAGAAAAUCAUUUGGGUAUCCCUGUAUUAAGCUUAUCCAAGCUUAAAUUUUCUUUGAUUUAAAAGAUUUUUGAUANNNNNNNNNNNNNNNNNNNNNNNNNNNNNNNNNNNNNNNNNNNNNNNNNNNNNNNNNNNNNNNNNNNNNNNNNNNNNNNNNNNNNNNNNNNNNNNNNNNNNNNNNNNNNNNNNNNNNNNNNNNNNNNNNNNNNNNNNNNNNNNNNNNNNNNNNNNNNNNNNNNNNNNNNNNNNNNNNNNNNNNNNNNNNNNNNNNNNNNNNNNNNNNNNNNNNNNNNNNNNNNNNNNNNNNNNNNNNNNNNNNNNNNNNNNNNNNNNNNNNNNNNNNNNNNNNNNNNNNNNNNNNNNNNNNNNNNNNNNNNNNNNNNNNNNNNNNNNNNNNNNNNNNNNNNNNNNNNNNNNNNNNNNNNNNNNNNNNNNNNNNNNNNNNNNNNNNNNNNNNNNNNNNNNNNNNNNNNNNNNNNNNNNNNNNNNNNNNNNNNNNNNNNNNNNNNNNNNNNNNNNNNNNNNNNNNNNNNNNNNNNNNNNNNNNNNNNNNNNNNNNNNNNNNNNNNNNNNNNNNNNNNNNNNNNNNNNNNNNNNNNNNNNNNNNNNNNNNNNNNNNNNNNNNNNNNNNNNNNNNNNNNNNNNNNNNNNNNNNNNNNNNNNNNNNNNNNNNNNNNNNNNNNNNNNNNNNNNNNNNNNNNNNNNNNNNNNNNNNNNNNNNNNNNNNNNNNNNNNNNNNNNNNNNNNNNNNNNNNNNNNNNNNNNNNNNNNNNNNNNNNNNNNNNNNNNNNNNNNNNNNNNNNNNNNNNNNNNNNNNNNNNNNNNNNNNNNNNNNNNNNNNNNNNNNNNNNNNNNNNNNNNNNNNNNNNNNNNNNNNNNNNNNNNNNNNNNNNNNNNNNNNNNNNNNNNNNNNNNNNNNNNNNNNNNNNNNNNNNNNNNNNNNNNNNNNNNNNNNNNNNNNNNNNNNNNNNNNNNNNNNNNNNNNNNNNNNNNNNNNNNNNNNNNNNNNNNNNNNNNNNNNNNNNNNNNNNNNNNNNNNNNNNNNNNNNNNNNNNNNNNNNNNNNNNNNNNNNNNNNNNNNNNNNNNNNNNNNNNNNNNNNNNNNNNNNNNNNNNNNNNNNNNNNNNNNNNNNNNNNNNNNNNNNNNNNNNNNNNNNNNNAAAGAUUUUUGAUAUAUAAUUCUUGAUUGUGGAGAGUAAUGAGUGAAAUUGCUAUAAAUGAUUUGUGGUGUAUCAUUAAUGUAGUGAUAGCGAUGGUUUCAAGAUAGUGAAGAAAUUUGGUGCUGCCAUUGAUGCUCAAUCCAAUUGCUAUGAAGAAGAAAAAAAUCAAGAAAAAAAAGAAGAAAAAAGAUACAUAUAUUUAAGAAAAUAAAAAUAAAAAUUUAAUACUGGUUUUUGGGAGAUACACUCACUUUGCCAGGUAAGCGUUCAGGGAGGUAAUAAUUCCAAUUUUAAACAAUUCAGGGGGGUGAUAGGACCCCCGUGAAGUAUGAGUGUGUAGUUGGAAAUCCGGCUAUAGAUUAGGGGGGCAUUUGGCCAUUUUCUCAUUAUUUAAUCUAAUGCAAGUGUUAAAAUGCUAUGUAUUACUAAUACCUAGAAUUCCUUGGUAUUAGUAAUACACAACUUAAUACACAAUAGAGUGUAUAACUAAUGCAAACAUUAAUUAUAACAUGGCAUGAAAAAGUGUACCAAACAAAAGGUACUACUAAUACAUACACCUAAUGGAUGCAUUGUAUUUAUAGAGUAAAAUUACUUUAUAAAAUAGUGAUUGCAAAUAAAUUUAUAUGGUAAGUAUUACACUAUUGCUUUACUCCUCAUUGGUUUCAAUAUAACUUUCUUUUUACUGUAUUUGAUUUAUAUUUUUUUUUUAUUUGUUGAUAUAUUUUACUUGAGUCAAAAACAAUCUCUACCUUCAUGAGGCGGGGAUAAGAUUGUAUACACACCAUCUUCUUCGAACUUUAUUUAUAAAAUUACACUUAAUAUAUUAUUAUUAUUAUUAUUAUUAUUACUUUAAUAACCUUGUAAAAAUAAAUUAAUUUUAUAAUAUCAGUGUAUAAUAAGUCUCGUAAAUUUUUUAAAAGAAGAGGCAUCCCACACAAAAAGAUAAGUCAAGAAUCAACCAGACCAAGUCUAGAACACCAACUUUGUACAAGUCAACAGAAAACCUCAACCACAUUCUAAUGAAAAAAAAAAUCAAGAAUAUGAUGCCAAUGGGCAACUUUUUCCAAUUUUGACAAGUCAAGGUACAAACUUUUCAUCACAAGGUACAACGCACUAAUAGCACACCUCACUUGCAUCAUCUAGAUCUAACUAGAUAGGUAAAUGCUAAAUUUGAUGUUGUAAACAUAGAAAAUCCAAUCAUUUAAAUCCAAUUACAAAUUUUGGAAUCUAUCCUCUAUGUCAGCCAUUAAUUAAAAAAAUCUGAUUUUUUUUACCAUUUCCUUAUUUUUCCUCACUAUGAUUUUCGAGCUAACUUUUAUGCACCUCGAUUAUUUUAUCGAAUACCUGCUAUAUUUUAUCGAUUAUUUCACCAAUCCAAGUACUAGAUAACUCGGCCACCAAAACUUCAACAGAUAGGAAAAAUCACAAUUACUUUUGUUUGUACUGAAAUUUGAAUCCCCAUCUCCAAAAUUUACUUUGACCAUUGAAUUAUUAUAAUCCAAAAAUUGGAAUCUACUCAUGUCAUAUAAUAUAUAAGAAAAAAUUCUCAAAUCUCAAAUUCUUUAAAGAGAAAAAAUUUACCUUUUUACAACCCCAAAUGUGAAAUCUUGAAAAGGGGUGUAAUGGUAGUUGAAUUAACAUCACCACAAACAUUAAACUCCAACAAGAAACCAAACAAGCUAAGAUCUAUUAGAUUUCCAAGACUGUCUUUCUUGAAAAAAACAUCCUCAAAUUGCUCAAAAAAAUCCAAGUUUUCUUGUCUAUCCAUUGUUCCAACAAGUAAUAACUCAACCCCAGAGCAACUAAGUCCAAUCAAAAUGCCAGAUUUAUCACCAAAUUAUAUGAAGAUUACAACUAGCUAUGAUGCAAAGAAAGGAAGUAAUUCUCAGGUAAAUUAAGUUUCUUGAUUCUUGAUUUUUGCUUAAAACAGUACUACUGCUGACCAAGUCUUAAUUGUAGUAGUCUAUCACUAUGAUGAAUAAAAAAAUGUGUUGACAAAGACUUUAUAUUAUGAAAUUUUAUUAGAAAUUUUCUCAUUUUUGUGACACCCCUUUUGUGUUUCAGAGAGGUAUUGGAUCAGUAGAUGUAAAUUCAAUUGAUUCAUCUGAAUUUUGUACACCAAAAAAGGAUGACAAAAUCAAGAACAGAUCAGUAAUGAAAAAAAUAAUGAAGAAUUUUGGUAGUACAAGGUCAUUUAGAAGAAGGUCAUCAAGAUCAAUAACAACAAUGAAGAAUCAUAAUACUCAAAAUCCAUCUUCAGUUGAGUUUUCAGAAUUAUCAUCAUCACCAUCACCAUCACCAUCACCACAUUACAGAAAAUCAACUUGUUGUUCUCAAGGUAAAAAUGGUUUACAUCAUAGUUGUGAAUCUAGCUUUGAUAGUAGUGAUCAAAGUAGGAGUCCGCGAAAAUAUUCGCAGACUCUAUCAAGAACAACUAGUAUGAGAAGUGUGAAGAUUUUGAUAAACAAAGCUAGUUUUAAAUCUAAAAAGGGUAGCUCAAAAUGCUGUCAAAUUCCUGAUAAGGCGACGUGUUCUUCGACUAUUAAGGAUUCUAAGUUUAAGGAGCAUGUUGAGUUUCAUCCUGGAAAAACUGAAACUGAUAGGUUGUCUAAGUUCAAAGUUUGUUCAUAUCAUCAUUGUUCUCUCCAUGGAGGACACUAUGAUGAUCCUUCACCCCCCGUGAAACGCGUAUAUAGGAGGAAAAGAUUGUUGAAAUCACAAAAGAGCAUUAGAGCAAAAAGAGAGUUUAGUACUGCUGAUGAAAAUACUCAAUUGAGCUCCAGUGUUGAUCCUUCAGUUUGUGGACAAAGCAGUGCUGCAGAAGAUGCUGGUGGUUUCGAUGUAAACGAGGCUAUUGAACAUGCUGAUCUUGUUGAGAUUGACUUUGGUGAACAACAAAGCAGUGGAACAGAAGAUGCUGGUGUUUUCGAUGUAAACGAGGCUAUUGCAUAUGCUGAAAUUGACUUUGGUGAAACAUCAUUUCCGGAGCAAAGUUACAAGGAGACACUCAACAUAAUGAGCAAACACUCUGCACUAGAGAAGGACAGCCGACUUACUGCUUCAGAGUGUUGCAAUUGUAUGGCACGAGGGCGGAGUGACUCAAAAGAUGACAGUGUUACAGAAUCAGCUGCAUUCAGUCUCGUGCAGGAAAGGGAUCGUUCACAUCUCCUAAAGCAAGAUGAUGGUGUCUCUACAUCUAAUGGGGAUGAAAGUAGUAAACGAGAACUGUCUAAAGAUGUGCCAUUUACCAUGACAACGAGAUCGGUGUUUGAUCUUUUUAAUGGAGCAAAAUAUAGCAAUGUUACAGAAUCAGCUGCUAAAUCUGAUAACAAUGAAACUAACAACAGAGAACCGUCUAAAGAUGGACCAUUCACCAUCACAACGAGACCGGUGUUUGAUAUUUUUUAUGGAGCAAAAUGUAGCAAUGAAAUCUCUUCUGUUUCAGCUAGCAAUAUGCAGGAGAAGGAUGGUAAAGCUGAUCCGAACGAGGACCUUGAUAGCACAUCAGGUCCAGUUGGUGAUUCAAAAUCCCAGAAUUGUCCUCCAGCUGAAGUUGUCAGACCCAAAAAGAAGUACAUGAACAUGUGGAGUCUGAUUCGUAGGCAUAUGGUCUCGGACUCAUCUGCUGAACCUGAGACCAAACCAGCCAGUGGUGCUAACGACGAAGAAAAUCAACAGGAUGGUGCUAACAAAUUGCCUUCGGCAGGAAGUUCUGACUCAUAUUCAGAUUUUGCUGAAAGAGAAAUGAUACCUGCAAAUGAGGAUGCAGAAAGUCAAGAAAUCGAAUUGAGGAAGCUUUUCACCAUCAAACUCGUACGAGAAGCAAUCGAGAAGAUUCUUCUUCCAGAAGUUCAAUCUGAUAGCCAAUCAGUUACAAGUGAGUCCAGUGUAGACCAAGAAUCCUUUGAAAUGAAUCAAAUCCAAGGUAAGGAAUUAGUACCACUAUUUGUCUUUCAUUUGUUUAUUAAGAAUGUGUGUAUUUAUUCACUUUAAGAAUUGUUUCUGAAUUUUUCAGACAGCAAGAAUGAGGAGGCAGAUGCAGGAUCCAUGUCAAAAACUGUGAAGACAGAAGAUGUUGGCGGCUCGAAGAAGGAGAUAACACCAAAAGUAGUGAAAAACAAAUCCGAGAAGAGAGCACCAAAACACUGGAGCAAUCUUAAAAAAUGGAUACUUCUCCAACGAUUCGUCAAGGAAUUGGAGAAGGUUAGAAAGAUCAAUCCAAGGAAACCGCGGUAUUUGCAGUUGAAUCCUGAUCCUGGAGCAGAAAAGGUGAAUUUAAGAACUCAAACAGCUGAUGAGAGGAAAAGAGGAGAGGAAUGGAUGCUUGACUACGCGCUUCAGCAGGCGAUAAGUCAACUUGCUCCAACUCAGCAAAGGAAAGUGGAACUUCUUAUAAAAGCGUUUGAAACUGUGGUUCCACCACAAGGCGACAAUAGCCAGAUUGCAUUUUCUAAGCCCAGAGCUAGAAAAGAGAAUGAAUUCAUGUCUACAGCAGGCAAUACGGGGCGUAAGGCAGAGAAAGUUAUUGCAGGCAUAGACAGAAAGCUUGAAGAAAAUGACUGCUCUAUGUACAAAGAUCAUGAUGUUCGACAGUCUGUACUUAGGCAGAAGUCGGAUGAAGUGACAAGCGCUUUGAAUGAUGAGGAUUUGGUGGAAGGAAAAGCUCGGAAAGAAGAUGAGGAAGAUAGUUCAAAUGAUUCUAUGAAAGAAACCUCUGAUGCAGUUGAUGGAGCACGAGAAGAUGUGGGGUCAGAUGUGAGAGACAGGAAGUUGGAGCUUGAGAAUCAUGACAGCGUUACUGGUGAAACAUCUAAUACAACGCAGAGCUCAAUUGCAGAUGGCGACCAAAAUUCACUAACUGCAAUGAGCAUCCAGAGUUCAACUUCAGCAUCUGAUGCAACAAUGCAAGAAACUGUAACUAGGGAAGAGACAGCAAAAGAAUGUGAGAAAACACGUAAACCUCUUCGUGGAUUUUCUCUCUUACUAUCAAUGUCUGAUACCAAAGAAGAUGAUGGAGCAUCCAAGGGGCAGGCGGACAAACGGAGUUACAUCAGCAUGUGGCACAUGAUAUCACAACAUGUGCUAUCAGAUGUUGCAUCAAAAGUUGGAAAUGAACUACUUGAUGGAACUGAUGAUGAGGUAGAAGACAGCAGUAGUACACCAUCUGAAAGGAAAAUGUGCAACUCUCUCGAGGAUUUCUCUGAGACAAAGGAUGAUGCAGAGUCAAACAGGGAAGAUCAUAAUCCAAGCCACCACGGGAGAAGUUUCUGCAGAGACGAUGCUGUCAAACUCAUACGAGAGGCAGUUAACGAGAUCCUUACAACGCCAAUUCAAGAUGAUUCAUCAGAUACACAGUCAGUCACCAGUGACAUAAUCCCGGACCAGGAACUCUCAGAAGCUGAAGGUGAAGCGAAUAAUCAUUCAAAUUCUACAGAAAGCUUGACAAAUCUUGACAUGACUGAAGGUGAAAAAAUGUUGGAUCAAGAAAUGAAGGAUCCAAAAGAAGAGAGAGCACUUCCACUAGCCAAGAACAAACCUGAGACACAAAAGUCCAAGAACUGGAGCAAGCUGAAGAAGUUGAUCCUCCUCAAGAGAUCAAUCAAGGCACUUGAAAAAGCGAGGAAAUUCAACCCACGAGCGCCUCAAUUUCUGCCCCUAACACCUGAUCAAGAACCAGAAAAAGUGGAUUUGAGGCAUCAAAUGACUGAUGAGAGGAAAAAAGCAGAAAAAUGGAUGCUUGAUUAUGCAAUGCAGCAUAUAGUUACCACGCUAACACCUGCUAGGAAAAAAAGAGUGGCAAUGCUUGUGGAAGCAUUCGAAGCAGUUGUUCCUCUCCCAGAAGUAUGAAUUCAACCAAGUCAGAUUGGUGGCAAAUUCUUUGACUACUUGUAAGAAUUAUGAAGGUGAGCAAACAUUCCUACAUUCGUUCGAAUUCAGUUAUUUAGACGAAUGAACCUAUAGAAAAUAUUUACUAAAUGAAAAAAGGGAAC